AUUGAACGCUGGCGGCAUGCCUUACACAUGCAAGUCGAACGGCAGCACGGGAGCAAUCCUGGUGGCGAGUGGCGAACGGGUGAGUAAUAUAUCGGAACGUGCCCAGUCGUGGGGGAUAACGUAGCGAAAGCUACGCUAAUACCGCAUACGAUCUAUGGAUGAAAGCAGGGGAUCGCAAGACCUCGCGCGAUUGGAGCGGCCGAUAUCAGAUUAGGUAGUUGGUGAGGUAAAGGCGCACCAAGCCGACGAUCUGUAGCUGGUCUGAGAGGACGACCAGCCACACUGGGACUGAGACACGGCCCAGACUCCUACGGGAGGCAGCAGUGGGGAAUUUUGGACAAUGGGCGCAAGCCUGAUCCAGCAAUGCCGCGUGCAGGAUGAAGGCCUUCGGGUUGUAAACUGCUUUUGUACGGAACGAAACGGUGAGCUCUAAUACAGUUUGCUAAUGACGGUACCGUAAGAAUAAGCACCGGCUAACUACGUGCCAGCCGCCGCGGUAA
rnacentral:rRNA from 1 species